CGAGGCGAGAGCCCUUCGCGGGGCGCAUCGUCGACCGAUCCUAUUCACUUGUGAAGGGAUUCGAGUGAGAGCGUGCCUGUUGCGACCCGAAAGAUGGUGAACUAUGCCUGAGUAGGGUGAAGCCAGAGGAAACUCUGGUGGAGGCCCGUCGCGAUUCUGACGUGCAAAUCGAUCGUCAAACUUGGGUAUAGGGGCGAAAGACUA
rnacentral:rRNA from 1 species